GUGCUCACUUUGGCAGCACAUAUACUAAAAUUGGAAUGAUACAGGGAAGAUUAGCAUGGCCCCUGCUCAAGGAUGACAUGCAAAUUUGUGAAGAGUUCCAUAUUUUU
rnacentral:snRNA from 1 species